CACCACGUAAGCUGACGGGAAUGUCUUCUGGGGGCACACCACGUUCGUGGGCUGCAGAGACGACCUGGCAGAAGGUCAGCACCCGCCCCCCGCCUCCACAGAGCCGUCCACUGUCACCCCCAUGGGAGCCUCGGAUCGUCACCGUCCUUGACGGGGUGGGGAGGUGUUCCGGAUUUCCCAGCUGGACUCUGUGUCAUCACAAGGGUCUUUAUGAGAGAGGGGUGGGGGCAGGAGAGCCAGAGUCAGACAGAGACGGGAGGAGCUGAGGAGCUGCUGGCCAGGAGCGUGGAGGACAGGCCCCGGACUCCAGGACCGGAACCGCCCCUGCAGGGCCUCCUCCCAGCCCGAGGAUGUUCUCAGGCGUCUCCCCACCCAGGGUCAACAACAUGUCCGCACAGCUGAUUCCUAAAUUCCUGCACACAAGAACAGGCGCUCGAGGGCAGGUGUUCCGCAGGUGGACUGGAUGGGGUAUGAAGGGCAGACGCACUCCGGCCGAGGAACGGGGCAUGUGUCCGUCCCAGUGCAGCAGCUUUCUCUGUAUCUUACUGGCUUAAUUUGUGGUAGAAUUAUAUUUUUUGACUACAUGAUGUCGAGACCCUGAUCCACGUCAAUUUCCUAAAUUUCCUCUGGUGUCCUGUCGUUUUGAGCCCCGUGCUCACAGUCGAGACACAGUUUCCCAUCUACGAGGUGUCACCACCUGCUGAGUGUUCUCAGAACCAGGAACCGGACCCUCACCAGACCACUCAGGCUGCACAGAGAUCCCAACCAACCUCUGCGUUCAAAGCGGAGCCCUGUCCUUUCCCAGGUCAGCGACAUCCUGGGAGCCAGUCACCAUGGCGAGGCCUCCCCGCUUAGCCGGCCUUCGGAGCUCUUCGCCACGUGGCGCGCUUUCCCCUUCCGCUUCCCCUCCAUCCGGCACCGCAGCCCUCUGAACAAUCCUGUGCUUCUGGCCGCCUCCACCUUCUGCCCCUGCGGCGCCUUCUGCCUGGACACCCACCCCUCCGCACUUGCAGGAACCGCGUCCUCUGUGGGUCUCUCAGCCAGAACCAUCUCCUGCUGCCCCCACAGCGCUCAGGGUCUCACCAGUGCCUGCAAAGCCACCUGUGGCCGUCACCUCAAUGUUAGAAAUGAUAGGUGCCCCGGUGAGAAGUCUGCGUGUAUAGACGGCAGCCACUGUGAGCGCCGCGUGCCGGCUUCACCGCACUUCUCCCGCUGUGAGCGCCGCACGUUCUGUAUCACAUACAGCGACUUACUCCCAGGAAAACCUGCUCCCAAGUCCCACCGUGUGGCAGAUUUAGGGAUGGGACAAGUAGGAAGGGAAGGCCUGUCCUUUAAUCAUACAUCUGGCACACUUGAGGUGAGGCCAAAAGGAACAGACAAGCAGAGGAGAGAUUAGAAGCGUGUCCCCAACUGGUUCUCCAUGCGUGCAGGCAGUCUCUAAGAAAAUCAAUAAAAGGACGUUGCAAACUACA
ensembl:lncRNA